rnacentral:rRNA from 1 species
UACAGAGGGUGCGAGCGUUGUUCGGAAUUAUUGGGCGUAAAGGGCGCGUAGGCGGUGCGGUAAGUCACCUGUGAAAUCUCCUGGCUCAACUGGGAGCUUGCAGGCGAAACUGCCGUGCUGGAGUGUGGGAGAGGUGCGUGGAAUUCCUGGUGUAGCGGUGAAAUGCGUAGAUAUCGGGAGGAACACCUGUGGCGAAAGCGGCGCACUGGACCAUAACUGACGCUGAUGCGCGAAAGCUAGGGGAGCAAACAGG